rnacentral:rRNA from 1 species
GACGAACGCUGGCGGCGUGCUUAACACAUGCAAGUCGAACGGAAAGGCGCUGCUUUUGUGGGGUGCUCGAGUGGCGAACGGGUGAGUAACACGUGAGUAACCUGCCCUUGACUUUGGGAUAACUUCAGGAAACUGGGGCUAAUACCGGAUAGGAGCUACUGCUGCAUGGUGGGGGUUGGAAAGUUUCGGCGGUUGGGGAUGGACUCGCGGCUUAUCAGCUUGUUGGUGGGGUAGUUGCUUACAAAGGCUUUGACGGGUAGCCGGCCUGAGAGGGUGACCGGCCACAUUGGGACUGAGAUACGGCCCAGACUCCUACGGGAGGCAGCAGUGGGGAAUAUUGCACAAUGGGCGGAAGCCUGAUGCAGCAACGCUGCGUGCGUGAUGACGGCCUUCGGGUUGUAAACCGCUUUCGCCUGUGACGAAGCGUGAUUGACGGUAAUGAGUAAAGAAGCACCGGCUAACUACGUG